UGCAGUCGAGCGACUGAUUAGAAGCUUGCUUCUAUGACGUUAGCGGCGGACGGGUGAGUAACACGUGGGCAACCUGCCUGUAAGACUGGGAUAACUUCGGGAAACCGAAGCUAAUACCGGAUAGGAUCUUCUCCUUCAUGGGAGAUGAUUGAAAGAUGGUUUCGGCUAUCACUUACAGAUGGGCCCGCGGUGCAUUAGCUAGUUGGUGAGGUAACGGCUCACCAAGGCAACGAUGCAUAGCCGACCUGAGAGGGUGAUCGGCCACACUGGGACUGAGACACGGCCCAGACUCCUACGGGAGGCAGCAGUAGGGAAUCUUCCGCAAUGGACGAAAGUCUGACGGAGCAACGCCGCGUGAGUGAUGAAGGCUUUCGGGUCGUAAAACUCUGUUGUUAGGGAAGAACAAGUACAAGAGUAACUGCUUGUACCUUGACGGUACCUAACCAGAAAGCCACGGCUAACUACGUGCCAGCAGCCGCGGUAAUACGUAGGUGGCAAGCGUUAUCCGGAAUUAUUGGGCGUAAAGCGCGCGCAGGCGGUUUCUUAAGUCUGAUGUGAAAGCCCACGGCUCAACCGUGGAGGGUCAUUGGAAACUGGGGAACUUGAGUGCAGAAGAGAAAAGCGGAAUUCCACGUGUAGCGGUGAAAUGCGUAGAGAUGUGGAGGAACACCAGUGGCGAAGGCGGCUUUUUGGUCUGUAACUGACGCUGAGGCGCGAAAGCGUGGGGAGCAAACAGGAUUAGAUACCCCUGGUAGUCCACGCCGUAAACGAUGAGUGCUAAGUGUUAAAAGGGUUUCCGCCCUUUAGUGCUGCAGCUAACGCAUUAAGCACUCCGCCUGGGGGAGUACGGUCGCAAGACUGAAACUCAAAGGAAUUGACGGGGGCCCGCACAAGCGGUGGAGCAUGUGGUUUAAUUCCAAGCAACGCGAAAAACCUUACCA
rnacentral:rRNA from 1 species